AACGAACGCUGGCGGCAUGCCUAACACAUGCAAGUCGAACGAGACCUUCGGGUCUAGUGGCGCACGGGUGCGUGACGCGUGGGAACCUGCCCUUAGGUUCGGAAUAACUCCCCGAAAGGGGUGCUAAUACCGGAUAAUGUCUUCGGACCAAAGAUUUAUCGCCUUUGGAUGGGCCCGCGUUGGAUUAGCUAGUUGGUAGGGUAAAAGCCUACCAAGGCGACGAUCCAUAGCUGGUCUGAGAGGAUGAUCAGCCACACUGGGACUGAGACACGGCCCAGACUCCUACGGGAGGCGGCAGUGGGGAAUAUUGGACAAUGGGCGAAAGCCUGAUCCAGCAAUGCCGCGUGAGUGAUGAAGGCCUUAGGGUUGUAAAGCUCUUUUACCCGGGAUGAUAAUGACAGUACCGGGAGAAUAAGCUCCGGCUAACUCCGUG
rnacentral:rRNA from 1 species